rnacentral:rRNA from 1 species
UACGUAGGAGGCAAGCGUUGUCCGGAAUUACUGGGCGUAAAGCGCGUGUAGGUGGUGGGACAAGUCUGCUGUGAAAGCGCCUGGCUUAACCGGGCGAGGUCGGCGGAAACUGUCCGACUCGAGGACGGUAGAGGGGGGUGGAAUUCCCGGUGUAGCAGUGAAAUGCGUAGAGAUCGGGAGGAACAUCUGUGGCGAAGGCGGCCAUCUGGACCAGCACUGACACUGAGGCACGAAAGCGUGGGGAGCAAACAGG